CACCUUAAAUCUAGCCCCACAACCUCAGAACAACACAUAAUUGUUAAUAAACCCUUAUGCACUAAAUCUAUAAAAUAAACCAUUCUUAAACCCUAGUAUGGGAGACAAAAACGGAUAAAGGAGCUACAGAACAAGUACCGCAAGGGAAAGAUGAAAAAGAAAUGAAAAAAUUUUAAAAGUACAUAAAAGCAGAGGUUUCACCUCGUACCUUUUGCAUCAUGUUUUAACAAGUCAUACUCAAGCAAAGAGCCCUUAAGUUUGAACACCCGAAACUAAGUGAGCUACUCCAAGUCAGCCAAUAUCUGGGCAAACCCGUAUCUGUGGCAAAAGAUUGGGAAGAACUUCGAGUAGAGGUGACAAGCCAACCGAACUUAGUGAUAGCUGGUUUCCUGAGAAAUGGAUAUAAGUUCAGCCUGAUCACUCCUUAAGCCACCUCCAUUUAUACUCAGGCCAUCUGAGUGAUCAGAGUUAAUCAAAAGAGGUACAGCUCUUUUGAAAAAGACACAACUUUUUAAGGAGACUAAAGAUCAUACUAAAUAAAGGCCGCAGUACCCCCGUGGGCCUAAAAGCAGCCAACCAAGAAGAAAGCGUUAAAGCUCUAGUACUCAUGAUCCUAAAUAUUUUGAUAAAUUUUCUUAAGUCCCUAAUAUUAUCAGGACAUCCCACGUCAAUGUGGGAGUGAUUAUGUUAAUAUGAGUAAUAAGAGGCUUUAAAACCUCUCCACUGCACAAACGUAAGUCGGAACGAACCCACGCCGAAAACUAACGACCCCAAGAAAAGAGGGUACUGUAAAAUAAAUUAAAACCAAGAAAACCAAUCAAUUAAAAAUCGUUAACCCCACACUGGAGUGCAAACAAGGAAAGACUAAAAGGGGGAGAAGGAACUCGGCAAACACUAGCCUCGCCUGUUUACCAAAAACAUCGCCUCUCGCAAACAAACAUGAGAGGUCUUGCCUGCCCUGUGACCACGUGUUUAACGGCCGCGGUAUUUUGACCGUGCAAAGGUAGCGCAAUCACUUGUCUUUUAAAUAAAGACCCGUAUGAAUGGCUUAACGAGGGCUCAACUGUCUCCUUCCCUCAGUCAAUGAAAUUGAUCCCCCCGUGAAGAAGCGGGGAUAAAAACAUAAGACGAGAAGACCCUAUGGAGCUUUAAAUUUUAGCUGAUAUUAUAACACACUCCUGAUUAAAGGAAACAAAAGUAAUUAGUCUGCUAAUAUUUUCGGUUGGGGCGACCGCGGGGUAAAAUCUAACCCCCGUGAAGAAUGGGGUAAUACCUCAAAACCAUGAACGCCAGUUCUAAGUAAUAAAAAAUUUAACUAAUAGAUCCGGUAUCACCGAUCAACGAACCAAGUUACCCUAGGGAUAACAGCGCAAUCCCCUUAAAGAGUUCAUAUCGACAAGGGGGUUUACGACCUCGAUGUUGGAUCAGGACAUCCUAAUGGUGCAGCCGCUAUUGAGGGUUCGUUUGUUCAACGAUUAAAGUCCUACGUGAUCUGAGUUCAGACCGGAGUAAUCCAGGUCAGUUUCUAUCUAUGAUAUGUUUUUCUCUAGUACGAAAGGACCGAGAAGAAGAGGCCCCUGCCAAAGGUAAGCCCCCCUGCUACCCAAUGAAGACAUCUAAAUUGGGUGUGAGGCAUAACACCAAGCUCAAAACCAUAGCUU
rnacentral:rRNA from 1 species